CUCGCCCCGGGAGGAGCCUCCUUGCCCCGAGACGCUGUCCCGCACGGCCGAGCCAGAGGCUCCAGCGGACGGGCCAGCGGGCAGCUGCGGGAGGUGCCUGGGGGCGGCCAGCGAGGGGUAGGGUCCACCCCCGGCCUGAGGAGGCAGCGGUGGUGGCCAUGGCCAAGCCCGGGCCUGGGCAGCAUCAGCCCCACCCAGAGCAGCCCAAGGCCCCACCCAAGGCUCCCAAGCCAGAAUGGGGCACUCACUGGCCCUGGCCCCGCUGCUGUCUCAGGCCACACCAGCAGUCUGUCCGAGGAACGCGCGCCCAUUUGUCAGAUGGAAGGGGCAGGCCCCAGCUCAGUGGAGGCACAGGUGGCCCCCACUGCCCAGAAGAGCAGCUGCCACCAGGGUCCAGGGGAUGACGGAGCCCCCUUCUCUAGCCGCAGGGUGUGUGCCAUCGGGGUUCCCAGGGGCCCCGUGUCCGAGUCCUUCGUGCAACGCGUGUACCAGCCCUUUCUCACCACCUGCGAUGGGCACCGAGCCUGCAGCACAUACCGGGCAUCCAGUGUGCCUGCUCCCCACCUGCAUCUGUGAGGGAUCGCCCAUCCUGUCUGCUCCCCUCCACUUUUGGGGCGCUCGCCCCCACCAUUGCUGGCUGACCAUCUAUAGGACCGCCUACCGCCGCAGUCCUGGGCCGGCCCCCGCCAGGCCUCGCUACGCCUGCUGCCCCGGCUGGAAGAGGACCAGUGGGCUCCCCGGGGCCUGCGGAGCAGCAGUAUGCCAGCCUCCAUGCCAGAACGGAGGGGUCUGUGUCCAGCCAGGCCGCUGCCACUGCCCUGCAGGAUGGCGGGGCGACACCUGCCAGACAGACGUGGAUGAAUGCAGUGCUGGACGGGGCGGCUGUCCCCAGCGCUGUGUCAACACCGCAGGGAGUUAUUGGUGCCAGUGUUGGGAGGGGCACAGCCCCUCUGCGGAUGGGGCAAUCUGCCUGCCCAAGAGAGGGACUGCCAGGGUCCCCCACCCGCACCCCACAACAGUUGCCAGGUUGUGCCCCACAUCUGGAGCAGAGGCUGGGAGGCCCCCGUGUCGGGAGAAGAGGCUAGCCUGGAUGUGGGGUGAGGAGCGGGCCUCCCUGAUGUGGCACCUGGAUGUCCCCAGGAGUGGACAGUGAGGUGAAGGAGGAGGUGCAGAGGCUUCGGUCAAGGGUGGACGUGCUGGAGCAGAAGCUGCAGCUGGUGCUGGCCCCACUGCACAGCCUGGCCUCGCGGGCCCUGGAGCACGGGCUCCCGGACCCCGGCAGCCUCCUGGCCCACUCCUUCCAGCAGCUGGACCGCAUCGACUCCCUGAGCGAGCAGAUCUCCUUCCUGGAAGAGCAGCUGGGGUCUUGUUCCUGCAAGAAGGAGCUGUGACAGGCCGGACCAAGGCCCUGGAGCCCAUGGACUGUCUCCUCACCCCACCCUCCCCACUGUACUGGGCAUGGCCGGUGGGGCACUGCAAGCCAAGACAGGAGAGGGGCCCCACCCUCCUUAACCAGGAGGCACCCAGGGCCGGGUGGGGCGAGGGGUCCUCCUCUGUGUGAAUCCAGCCCCAGCCCGGCCAGCACCCCGGUCUGUGAGCACAGCCCAGCCCAGCCAGACCCCUGCACCCCCGCUGGCUCUCGGAGCCUGGUGGGCCCAUGGCUGAGGGAAGGUACGCUCACUGGGCAGUGGGGGGGUACCACCCCGGAUCUUUAUCAGAAUAAAAUGAGACUUGAGGAGG